CGAACGAUCGAAGCCCACCUCUGCUGGGUGGAUUAGUGGCGAACGGGUGAGUAACACGUGAGUAACCUGCCCUUGACUCUGGGAUAAGCCUGGGAAACUGGGUCUAAUACUGGAUAUGACUUCUCACCGCAUGGUGGGGGGUGGAAAGAUUUAUUGGUCUUGGAUGGACUCGCGGCCUAUCAGCUUGUUGGUGAGGUAAUGGCUCACCAAGGCGACGACGGGUAGCCGGCCUGAGAGGGUGACCGGCCACACUGGGACUGAGACACGGCCCACACUCCUACGGGAGGCAGCAGUGGGGAAUAUUGCACAAUGGGCGCAAGCCUGAUGCAGCGACGCCGCGUGAGGGAUGACGGCCUUCGGGUUGUAAACCUCUUUCAGUAGGGAAGAAGCGAAAGUGACGGUACCUGCAGAAUAAGCGCCGGCUAACUACGUGCCAGCAGCCACGGUAAUACGUAGGGCGCGAGCGGUUAUCCGGAAUUAUUGGGCGUAAAGAGCCUCGUAGGCGGUUUGUCCGCGUCUGCCGUGAAAGUCCGGGGCUUAACCCCCGGAUCUGCGGUGGGUACGGGCAGACUAGAGUGCAGUAUGGGAGACUGGAAUUCCUGGUGUAGCGGUGAAAUGCGCAUAUAUCAGGAGGAACACCGAUGGCGAAGGCAGGUCUCUGGGCUGUAACUGACGCUGAGGAGCGAAAGCAUGGGGAGCGAACAGGAUUAGAUACCCUGGUAGUCCAUGCCGUAAACGUUGGGCACUAGGUGUGGGGGACAUUCCACGUUUUCCGCGCCGUAGCUAACGCAUUAAGUGCCCCGCCUGGGGAGUACGGCCGCAAGGCUAAAACUCAAAGGAAUUGACGGGGGCCCGCACAAGCGGCGGAGCAUGCGGAUUAAUUCGAUGCAACGCGAAGAACCUUACCAAGGCUUGACAUGUUCCUGACCGCCGUAGAGAUACGGUUUCCCCUUUGGGGCAGGUUCACAGGUGGUGCAUGGUUGUCGUCAGCUCGUGUCGUGAGAUGUUGGGUUAAGUCCCGCAACGAGCGCAACCCUCGUUCCAUGUUGCCAGCACGUAGUGGUGGGGACUCAUGGGAGACUGCCGGGGUCAACUCGGAGGAAGGUGGGGACGACGUCAAAUCAUCAUGCCCCUUAUGUCUUGGGCUUCACGCAUGCUACAAUGGCCGGUACAAUGGGUUGCGAUACUGUGAGGUGGAGCUAAUCCCAAAAAGCCGGUCUCAGUUCGGAUUGGGGUCUGCAACUCGACCCCAUGAAGUCGGAGUCGCUAGUAAUCGCAGAUCAGCAACGCUGCGGUGAAUACGUUCCCGGGCCU
rnacentral:rRNA from 1 species